rnacentral:rRNA from 1 species
AAUGAACGUUGGCGGCGUGGAUUAGGCAUGCGAGUCGUACGAGAACCCGCAAGGGGGAAAGUGGCGAACGGGGUAGUAAUGCGUAGGUGACGUGCCCUAUGGUCGGGGAUAGCUUAGGGAAACUUAAGGUAAUACUCGAUAAUCCCGGGAGGUUUGAAGACCAUCCGGGCAAAGGUGUGAUUCCAUCAUAGGAGCGGCUUGCGUGGUAUUAGCUAGUUGGUGAGGUAACGGCUCACCAAGGCUAUGACGGGUAGGGGGUNUGAGAGCACGACCCCCCUCACUGGCGUNAGACACUGCCACGANACCUACGGUGGGCUG